AGAGCACUUGAGAAUUCUUAGCCAUAAAGCUGAUGACUAACACAGGAAUGGUUGGAAAGAAAAAUCUUUUUAAUCUGGGAAGGAGAGGGAAGGACGAAGGCAAGAAGGAAAAGAUCCAUAGAGCUCAUGAGUGUGGUUAUCAGCCCAAAUUGGAGCUUUUCGAGAAUCGGAAUUAGAACUUAGAUGUGUAUAGUCCCACUAAUGAACCAGGGCUCGUUCUGGGAAGUUCUGGAGGAAAUAAGCCCUAUGCCUGCGGCCCAACCUGGCCUUUGGGGCCCCAGGGGAAGGCUGCCGUAUUAAGGGGGCCCAUGCCCUCAUCGCUGCAGGAGACAAGGGAGCGAGCACUUGGCUGCGCCACAGAAAUUACUGCUGUACCUCGAAUGCCCGCUUCAUUUAUCAAUUUCAUAGCAGAAAAACCCAUAUGACUGCCUUGUUCACUCGCACGCUAAAUCUAGUCGCAGAAAGCUCCUCACCGCCAGUCAAGUGUGUUAUGCGCGGGCUUAGAGAAAGUAACUUGAAAUACCACUAAUGAUUUAUACUUAAUUGAACCUCUAAGUGAUUAAAGUGGCACUAAUGAAUGAAUAACACCCUCCUCGUUCCCUCACCCACUCGGCCCAGCGACUCCGGCAGAGCGGGCCUCGCCUUGGGAAGUCAGCUACAAAGGCCGGCGUGAACCAUUCUCUCGGCUUCCCCCAAGCCGCUCAUCUGGGUCCUGGCUAAAUUGCUCUCGCUUGCAGCAAAUGACUCCAUAAGCACCAUAUCAGACCAUUGAUCCUUUUUAUUAGAUUACCCAAUUGUAAGGUUAAUGCAUUUGCAUUUGCCAAACGGAGUGGGUCAGCCUGAAUCCCACACGGGGAUCCAUGUUUAAACGGACACACAGCCGAGGAGAGUGGCUCUGUCAACAUAUUGAUUUGUUGGAACAGGAACCAGCUGGAUGCUGAUACCCUUGCCUCAGCCCACCCCCUACCUCCAAAAGAAAGUGCAGGAGAACACACUUCCCGGGCUGUGUCUUCCUUAGCACAAACCCCCUUGACAGCCAGGAGGCCAACGCCAGCCGCCACCCACAAUACUUCUGUUUCUGGAAGAAAGAAGGGUCCUGCAAAGGUUUCGGUCACCUCAGACACAGACAAAGGUGGGCCAUUCACCUUGGACCAGGAACCUGGCUGCUUUCUCUAAAUGAGGGAGAGCCAGGACUUGUGACAAGGACACAAGCUUCAGAAGCCAAAAAUUCUUCUUUUCUGAACAUCAUAGAGUCAGACUGGGGCAGCCAUUUCUCCCUAGGUUUCUACACCUGACGUGAACUUAUUCUUGGAUUUUUGAAAUGCAUUAACCAAAUGCCAUUUAAGUGAUCCACCUUCAUAAGAAUUUUCUAAAGCAGAAACUGGGACUUGCAGAGGCCAAGUAACUGUCCAAUGUGAUGCAGCUGGAAAGGGGAGAGCUGGAGCUCAAGCCCAAGCCGGUCAGACUCCAGGACCUGCGUUCUGUCACUCUGCCCCACUCCCAGGACUCGAAGUAUCCCCUUUGGCGGGGAACAAACCAGAGUUCUGCAGAGACUCUGGCUUCUCCUUCCCUUCCUCGUCUUCUAUUCCAUUAAGCCAACAGCCUCAGGAGCAGGCAAGGGAUAGGAAGGCGUUGGUCCAGAGCGAAAAGAGAGCUUCAGAUGUGAAGGGGAAAGAAAAUCACUGAGUGAGCAACAGUUGACCUUGAUUCCAGAUUAAUGGAGUAUAAAUUAACAACAAACGUGUGCAAUGUCCUGGAAGUCAGAUGCUUCUCCACACUCCCUCACUCUCCUCCGGCAAAAUGCUUUCUGUCCCUGAGCUGCUUUUCUACAAAUGUGAUGCGGGGGAACGGGGACUGCUGUCUGCAAGUCACCCUUGCUGUGGUGGGAACCCAUUCGGCCUGGCCUUUAUGCAAUGAAGGGCCUCCAGUUGAAGAUACAGACAGUGUCUCUGUUAAUAACACCAUUUUAUGGAAUUAAAUUUGGCGUCUGUUAAAAGUAUUCAUUAGUUGAAUGUAACAUUUACUGCCCCACAAUUUUGGUAAUAC
rnacentral:lncRNA from 1 species